GGCGAGGCUAGAGUCUCGCCCGGGCAUGGCAUCACCCCAGUGUGCUGGAGUCCUGGGAGAGCAGCCACUGGCCUUAUUCACUGGCUGUGGCCCUGUGGCUGGGCUGGUCUCCAGGUCAGGGACAGGC
rfam:Erinaceus europaeus unplaced genomic scaffold scaffold00141, whole genome shotgun sequence